AUACGCCACGACAUGUAACGAAUUAUUUUUUAUUUAAAAUGUAAAUGUUGAUGAUGUACGAUGAAUCAUGUAAGAUGUUUUCGUAAAAGGUAUGAUGAUUUAACGUCAAGAGUUCAUCAACUAUUGAAACAAGUAUUGUACUUGCGUUGUGUAGGAUGUUAAUUACACAAAACAAUCUUUUUUUACUCGUUCAAAUGAGAAUAAAAGUGAAAAUAUAAAUACCAUUAUUUUAACACGUAAACUUUGAUCACUGAAGCAAAACAGAGAAGACUAAGAAGAAUAAGAGUGACAACCAAACGUGAGUAAGCUAAACCACAAAUUGGUUACUCCACCGAGUACGGUGAUUCAUUUUCACAUGGGUAUUAUUGUACACCUUUUUGUAAAUUUUGUUUGGAAGAAAAAGUGAUGAAUCGCUUGAUACUGCUGCUGAACUCUUCUGUUCGUACAUGAGCCAUAAAGUACACGUAAUGUCAUUUGAGCCUACGCUGGUAGCAUUUUAAAUGAAAGGUCGUCGCAAUAUAAUAUAUAUAUAUGUAUUUAACAUUCAGCAUUUAUGUAUUGCAGUUGCCAGUCAGGAGUGAAAUAUCAAUGUAUGCCAACCAUGGAUCAACUAUCGAUAAAUAUUUUCACUUAAGAGAUUAAUAACUACUAGUAAAUAGCUAGUUAAAUAAAAAUUAGGUAUCGGCAUCGACUGUCACCGGAAGUUAAGAGAAAGUGAGUGAUGAAAUUAUUGGACGGUAACAUCGGAUCCAAUUGUCGUGACAAUUAUAUAACAUUUAAAGACAAUAUAAUAGACUAACUGUGUCAUUCUUAAAGUUAACUUGUCUUCCUGAGUUGCAAAUAGACGGGGAAAACAAUUAGGCUAUUAAAAUAAUUAACAUGUCUUCAGCCAGCAGUCUAAUUAUAUUUUACGUCGCGUUUUUUAUUUUAACUAUUUUUUUUUUUUUUUUAUUUUUUUUUAUUUUAUUGUUGCAGAAUUCUGUAGCAGAUAAACCGAGUUAGAAUAUUCUCAACAUUCUUUAAUUACGUAUGGACUUAAAAGGGAAAAAAUGAUCGGGGAUGCCGAUCGCUGACCCAUAAAAGUAUGUAACACACCUACUAUUAUACUUGAGAAGUAAACGGAAAACAUUUAAACGAGAAUAUAUUUGAAUAUCAUGUACAACACCACGGUGCGAUAUAUAUUUAUUGACGUAUAACUAUGGUUGUAUGCAGUGAGCCCAAGGCAGUUUUAAUUCAUUUUAGAUUAGACGUGAGUAAACGCUAAAAGCUUUAACGAUUAGAUCGUUCUAGGAUGAUAAGUGAUAUUUAAGUUACAGCUGAUAAUAAUAAUAAUGAUAAUUAAAUAAUGUUUGAGGAGUUUAUCGAAAGUAAACAAUUGUUUAUUGCCAGCUUAGGAUUUCUUUCUUGAUAAGGGAUGUGCUUUUGAUUGGCAGUAACCUUGAGGUCUUCAAGGCUAGUAAGUCCUCAGUUGCAGUUAAAGAAAGAUCUUCCGGAUAUAAAAGAAAGUUGGACGUGGACUUGGAUGGUUAUUGUUAUUAUCCACGCUGCAUAUUUGUAUACUGUACGGGUCGGUGCAACCAAUGUGUACUGCUCUAUGCAUUAUAGACGCUGACUUUCUAUUAGGCGACCGCGAUUGGUAGGAUUUCACUCCCACUUACGAGACAUUAUUAAAUCGGAUCCGAGGCUCCAAAUCGGUCACUUAUUCAGGUGCGUAUGGAUUAAAACUAUUUUAUUUUUUUUAUCGUCUUACCUGGGGUUUUUUUUUUCAGCCCAAUCACUCACAUUUUUUUCCAACCCUGAAUUUUUAUUAUUUUUUAAAUCUUCGUCAGUCGCUGAAGCAUUCUAUUAAUAUUUUUUAUCUUAACAAGUUAAUUAAACUUUGACAAAUAUUACCUAAGCGUUGAUUAAGACAUUUAAUAAUUAAAAAAAAAUAUUUUACAUUGAUGAAAAGCUGAGGCGUAGAUUAAAAAUAAAUAAUGAAGA